rnacentral:rRNA from 1 species
GUCGAGCGAGGCCCUCCUUCGGGGGGUGCCCUAGCGGCGAACGGGUGAGUAACACGUGGGCAACCUGCCCUCAGCUCUGGGAUAACUCCAAGAAAUUGGUGCUAAUACCGGAUGUGACCGCUGACCGCAUGGUCUGGUGGUGGAAAGAUUCAUCGGCUGAGGAUGGGCCCGCGGCCUAUCAGCUUGUUGGUGGGGUAAUGGCCCACCAAGGCGACGACGGGUAGCCGGCCUGAGAGGGUGACCGGCCACACUGGGACUGAGACACGGCCCAGACUCCUACGGGAGGCAGCAGUGGGGAAUAUUGCGCAAUGGGCGAAAGCCUGACGCAGCGACGCCGCGUGAGGGAUGACGGCCUUCGGGUUGUAAACCUCUUUCAGUAGGGACGAAGCGCAAGUGACGGUACCUACAGAAGAAGCACCGGCCAACUACGUGCCAGCAGCCGCGGUAAUACGUAGGGUGCAAGCGUUGUCCGGAAUUAUUGGGCGUAAAGAGCUCGUAGGCGGUCUGUCACGUCGGCUGUGAAAACCCGAGGCUCAACCUCGGGCCUGCAGUCGAUACGGGCAAACUAGAGUACUGCA